AUUGAACGCUGGCGGCAGGCCUAACACAUGCAAGUCGAGCGGAUGAAGGGAGCUUGCUCCUGGAUUCAGCGGCGGACGGGUGAGUAAUGCCUAGGAAUCUGCCUGGGAGAGGGGGAUAACGUCCGGAAACGGGCGCUAAUACCGCAUACGUCCUGAGGGUGAAAGUGGUGGUUCUUCGGUCCUCACGCUACCAGAUGAGCCUAGGUCGGAUUAGCUAGUUGGUGGGGUAAAGGCCUAACAAGGCGACGAUCCGUAACUGGUCUGAGAGGAUGAUCAGGCACACUGGAAGUGAGACACGGUCCAGACUCCAACGGGAGGCAGCAGUGGGGAAUAUUGGACAAUGGGCGAAAGCCUGAUCCAGCCAUGCCGCGUGUGUGAAGAAGGUUUUCGGAUUGUAAAGCACUUUAAGUUGGGAGGAAGGGCAGUAAGUUAAUACCUUGCUGUUUUGACGUUACCAACAGAGUAAGCACCGGCUAACUUCGUG
rnacentral:rRNA from 1 species